UAAUUGAAGAGUUUGAUCAUGGCUCAGAUUGAACGCUGGCGGCAGGCCUAACACAUGCAAGUCGAGCGGCAGCACAAGUAAGUUUACUUAUGAGGUGGCGAGCGGCGGACGGGUGAGUAAUGCCUAGGGAUCUGCCCAGUCGAGGGGGAUAACAGUUGGAAACGACUGCUAAUACCGCAUACGCCCUACGGGGGAAAGGAGGGGACCUUCGGGCCUUCCGCGAUUGGAUGAACCUAGGUGGGAUUAGCUAGUUGGUGAGGUAAUGGCUCACCAAGGCGACGAUCCCUAGCUGUUCUGAGAGGAUGAUCAGCCACACUGGGACUGAGACACGGCCCAGACUCCUACGGGAGGCAGCAGUGGGGAAUAUUGCACAAUGGGGGAAACCCUGAUGCAGCCAUGCCGCGUGUGUGAAGAAGGCCUUCGGGU
rnacentral:rRNA from 1 species